rnacentral:rRNA from 1 species
GACGAACGCUGGCGGCGUGCUUAACACAUGCCAGUCGAACGGAAAGGCCCUGCUUUUGUGGGGUGCUCGAGUGGCGAACGGGUGAGUAACACGCGAGUAACCUGCCCUUGACUUUGGGAUAACUCCAGGAAACAGGGGCUAAUACCGGAUAGGAGCUCCUGCUGCGUGGGGGGGGUUGGAAAGUUUCGGCGGUUGGGGAUGGACUCGCGGCUUAUCAGCUUGUUGGUGGGGUAGUGGCUUACCAAGGCUUUGACGGGUAGCCGGCCUGGGAGCUUGGCCGGCCACAUUGGGACUGCGAUAGGGCGCAGUCUGCAACGUUAGGCAGCAGUCGGAAGUAUUGCGCAAUGGGCGGGAGCCUGAUGCGGCAGCGCCGCGUGCGUGAUGACGGCCUUCUGGUUAUAAACCGCUUUCGCCUGUGACGAAGCGUUCGUGACGGUAAUGGAUAAAGAAGCACCGGCUAACUACGUG